ensembl:rRNA 5S_rRNA 5S ribosomal RNA
GUCUACAGCCAUACCACACUGAAUACACCUGAUCUCAUCUGAUCUCAGAAAUUAAGCAGGGUCAGGCUAUCAGGCCUGAUUAUUCCUUGGAGAGGAGACACAAUUAGUCAAAAAGAUACCUGUACUCC